GCGCCGUGUGGCGGAUCUAAGCGAGGAGGAGCGCCCACCUCCGAUUUGUGGUCAUAGGAGGCGUCCUCCAUGGUGGUCGCGCGGGUGAGGCCGGAGCGUGGUCGUGGACGUCGUCCUCCUCUGCAGCAGCGAUCCAGGCACAGGGACUUCCACGGAGGAGGCCGGCCCUCCGUGCCGACUCGUCGUCUUUCUCAUCGAGGCAGAUUUUUCACACGCUAAUGUUUGGUUUAACCAAAUGGAUCUAUAUUGGUGCUCCACCGUUCAUUUGGCUCCAUUGAUUGUUGGCUUGUUGCUCACUGGAAUAUAAUCAAUCCAUCAUUCAACGAAAAAUAUGCAGAGUUCACUUUAUGGAUGAUUCACCAACAUUAGUAUUUUUCCUCUGAAUGCGGAGUGUUUUUAAGGCUGCUUCAUAGAUCCACGUGCACAUCUCCUGCAAGCAUAAUGGAAUAACUGAGGUGAAGCCUAAAUUAAGUAUGCUUAGAUCUCCUUCUACAUUGAUUUGCGGAGGCGUUUUCACAAAUAAACAAAUGGGGGAUAAAGGUGCCAUGCUUCGUGUUUGGUGACAGCUAUCUCAACACAAUCUCUAAUUGUGUGAAGUGGGAUGAGGACAAUCUGUAUGAGUUUGAAUCAAGCAAGCCAGUGAGACAGAAGAUACCUGAGCCCAAGACAUAGUAUCACCCAAUUAUGAUAGAUGGUGAUGGGUCAGUAUCACCAAAGCACCCGUUUGACAAGUGCCUAGAUGAGACUGUUAAUGUUGAAGCUAUUCUAACUGUUUUGAAUGGCGUGGCUUCUUCAAGUAAAAAUGAUUCUAAGGAUGAUGAUUGGGCAACCUCAGAUGAUGAUGCGGAUUCCAUGGAACAUGAUGAUGGUUGGUAGCUUCUUGCUCAAUUGCUAUUAUAAUGUGGUUAUUCUGUUUUGCAGUAAUUUUCAAUCAUAUAUUGCUAUACUGUGUUUGAAUCUAUUUAAAUGAGGGAAAUUAAUGUGACUUGCUUUUUAGUGGAAAAACUAAGUUGGUUUUCUAGUGACUGCAUGUAUGAUUAGUCUUCAAAGGUUAUGCUACAUGUUGGUUCAAGAUUAUGAUGAAAAAUCAAGAUUAUAUAUAGUUGUUAGCCUGUGAGGUGUUAUCUGCUUGAUGGUUAGUUUCUGGAGUAAACCAUCAAUUACCAGUGUGCACUGUUCUACAAGUUGAGCUAUGCAAAUCAAUGUUAUGCUAUCAACUAAUGACAACUCAUAUAGCUUUUCUUAAUUUCCUACCUUACAAAAAGCUUUCACAGCUCUUUUCUAAGAAAAUAAAUUUUAUCUUAUAACAUGAUUUGUGUGUUUAUAUUUGAGGCCCCUUGAGGAAUCUUUUGUUUGGAAGAAAAUUAACACUAAGACCAGUUAAUACAGUAGUCUGACCAAUAAUCAAAGUAAGAGAAGUAGUUGGAGGAGACAAAGAAACCCAGCGCCACCACCACCAGAUUUGGCAUUUUGACAUCUGAAGCCAUUAGGCAAUAGUUCUUAGAAUAAAUUGUUACCUCACUUGUGUAUGUGUGUGUGUGAUCUAAUGUGUGGGUGAGAUAAUAGAUAAAUUUCUACAGAUGUUCAGUAUAGCAUUUUGCAAAAUAUUUACCAGUGCGAAAGACGGGGAGUCGCGCGCCAAGGCGCAUACCAAAAUCCAUAUUGCAGUUGUAUAUAUUCCCAAGGAUUUUUUGGUGCAAAUUAGGAUAGAGCUCUACUGUAUACAUUAUUACAACUAUGUUUGCCAAGAUGUGUUGUAAAUAUAACAACAUUUGCCUGUCGACAAAAUAGCACAACGAAUUAGAGGAGAGGGUUUUAGAUUAAAGAUAUGUAGGACUAUUCAGUGUAGUUCUUAGUCGGGUUCUGACUAGAUCAUCUGUUCAGUUAAUAUAUUUUGGUUGCACGCUGCCACGAAGCUCCUCGGCCUUUUGCAUCUAUUUGUAUAUUUAUGUGUUUGUUUUCUGCUACAACUUCCGACGUACGCAAUGGUUCUACCUAUGGAAUUUCUCACAUGUCUGGUACUUGGUUUGCUGUGUAACGACAUCGUUUUGUGAAACAUGAGUGUAUUAUCAUGUUGGUGGUUAAUUUAUCGUUGUUAUAUAGAAUGUACAUUGUUAUGAAUUUUACGGGGACGUGCGCCAAGGCGCACAUCUAAA